rnacentral:lncRNA from 1 species
GGUUUUGCACCGGGUCCCCGGGCUUGUCUCACGGCCUCCAGCCGCCGCCGCUGCCGUGUUUACUGAGCUCGCGCGUCCUGAUAUCACUCCGCUGGCAUGGAGGAGGAGGAGGAGGUGGAGGAGCGCGAGGAGGAGGAGGAGGCGGCGGCGGCGGCGAGCAGUUGAUCAUUGUGAUGGUGGCGGAGGCGGCGGCGGCAGCGGCAGCCUGGCCGAGCAUUAGUGGCUGCUCUCCGCGCGGCGUUUCGCAAAGGACUCCAGCGAUCUACUUUUGCAGUCGCCUCGGACUGUCCAUGUGUUUACUUGCCCAGCCCGAGGACUCGAUGUCUAGGCUCCUGUGAAAUGCAACUGAGCAGCCAAAGUACUUUGAGAACACGGGGCGGCAUAAACACCAAAACUUUUUUGUGGAAGGAAAAUGCAAUAAGCAAGCUCGCCGUUUUCCGAUGCGGCGUGGAGUGAGUGUGUGUCGCGCGUGUCCGCACUGGAGGCACACGCUCGUGUGUGUACAUGGGGUGUGUUUUUCGGUACGUAGGGAGAAAAUGCUUGCCAACCACCGGAAACCUCCUGGAAUUUAUUAGAAAAUAAUGGAUUAUUAAAAGGAGGCAGGCGAGGAGCGGAUCUCCCCUUGAGUUGCAAGCCGAUCUGCUGCCGGCUCAGUUUGUUGGGAUUCUAUUUGUUGAUAGGUGUCUGAUGGUAUUCUGAUAACACCCCCUUUUUUUCUCCCCUCGAUCUUUACAGUUUUUUUAAGG